AUUGAACGCUGGCGGCAUGCUUUACACAUGCCAGUCGAACGGUAACAGGCCUUCGGGUGCUGACGAGUGGCGAACGGGUGAGUAAUGCAUCGGAACGUACCCAGAGGUGGGGGAUAACGCAGCGAAAGCUGUGCUAAUACCGCAUGUGAUCUGAGGAUGAAAGCGGGGGACCGAGCAGCAAUGUUUAGCCUCGCGCCUUUGGAGCGGCCGAUGUCGGAUUAGCUAGUUGGUGGGGUAAAGGCCUACCAAGGCGACGAUCCGUAGCUGGUCUCAGAGGACGACCAGCCACACUGGGACUGAGACACGGCCCAGACGCCUAAGGGAGGCAGCAGUGGGGAAUUUUGGACAAUGGGCGCAAGCCUGAUCCAGCAAUGCCGCGUGCGGGAAGAAGGCCUUCGGGUUGUAAACCGCUUUUGGCAGGAACGAAACGGUGUCCGCUAAUACCGGGCGCUAAUGACGGUACCUGCAGAAUAAGCACCGGCUAACUACGUG
rnacentral:rRNA from 1 species